CUUGGUCAUUUAGAGGAAGUAAAAGUCGUAACAAGGUUUCCGUAGGUGAACCUGCGGAAGGAUCAUUAUUGAAUGAAUUUGGUGUGGUUGUUGCUGGCCUUCUUGGAGGCAUGUGCACACCUACCAUCCUCAUCUCUCCACCUGUGCACCUCUUGUAGAUUUGGAAUUGAUUAUCCGAGGCAACUCGGUCGUGAGGACUGCUAGCAUUUAGCUGGCUUUCUUUGCAAUUCCAGGUCUAUGUUUUUCAUAUACCCCAUUGUAUGUAACAGAAUGUAUCAUUGGGCCUUGUGCCUAUAAACCUUAUACAACUUUCAGCAACGGAUCUCUUGGCUCUCGCAUCGAUGAAGAACGCAGCGAAAUGCGAUAAGUAAUGUGAAUUGCAGAAUUCAGUGAAUCAUCGAAUCUUUGAACGCACCUUGCGCUCCUUGGUAUUCCGAGGAGCAUGCCUGUUUGAGUGUCAUUAAAUUCUCAACCAUUAUCAACUUUUGCUGAUAAUGGCUUGGAUGUGGGGGUUAUUUUGCUGGCUUCUCAAAUAGUCAGCUCCCCUUAAAUGCAUUAGCCGGUGCCCCGCGUGGACUGUCUAUUGGUGUGAUAAUUAUCUACGCUAUGGACAUCUGCAAUCAUAUGGGUUUGCACUGCUUCCAACAGUCUGUUAAAGACAAUACAUGACAAUUUGACCUCAAAUCAGGUAGGACUACCCGCUGAACUUAAGCAUAUCAAUAAGCGGAGGA
rnacentral:rRNA from 1 species